AUGGCGUAGUGGGGGUACUCUUCCAUUCGUGACGACAAUAUAGACGGACCGGCUUUAACGGUAGGUUCAAUUUUGCUUCGAAUUGGGACGAGUGCACAUUGCAGAUCACGUAGCACGCGUUUUCCGUAAGCAGUAUCAAAGAGGUAAUAAUGAAACGGUGUGGUGGGGAUACACUGCCACCUGCAAAGUGAUAUAAGGCGGUCGCCUUUGACAGUGGGUCAAGUUAUGCCACAAAUUUCCAGCAUUCACAUCUCAAUCCUCGUGAAUUAAACCGAGUGGUGGGGGUACUGUACCACGUGGGGGAAAUAUAAGGCGGCCGCCUUUGGCAGUGGGUCCAUUCAUGCCUCGAAUUUCCAUCAUUCAAAUCUCAAUCCUUGCGGUACGCACGCUCCGCAAGUAAAAGAGAAGAGUAAUAAUUAAACGGAGUGGUGGGGAUACUGUACCACUUGGGGGAAAUAUAAGGCGGCCGCCUUUGGCAGUGGGUCCAUUCAUGCCACGAAUUUCCACCAAUCACAUCUCAAUCCUCGCGAAUUAAGCGGAGUGGUGGGGAUACUGUACCACUUGGGGGAAAUAUAAGGCGGCCGCCUUUGGCAGUGGGUCCAUUCAUGCCACGAAUUUCCACCAUUCAAAUCUCAAUCCUUGCGGUUAUUUGACUUUGGAUUUAAAUGCGAAGUGGGGAUACACGGCUUCGAGAGACAACAACAAUAUCGGGUCUUUGGCCGACCUGUAUAGUUCCUGGUUCAGUUGUGCGUUGGACUUUGACCAGUGAACUUAGAAAUUUUUGCACGAUGCCGAAUUCGAGCGAGUAUU